GUCAACAAAAUUAUAGUGGUUGGCAAGAGUGAUCCUUCCUAUCCAAUUCAAAAGAAAAGGGUCAGCAGAGAAUUUUUGAGAACUAAAGCUCAUCUUCGUCCUAGAACAAACACAUUUGGUGCGGUUGCAAGGGUAAGGAAUGCUUUGGCCUAUGCUACACACAAGUUCUUUCAAGAAAAUGGGUUUGUCUGGGUCUCAAGUCCUAUUAUCACAGCUUCAGAUUGUGAAGGAGCAGGUGAACAGUUCUGUGUUACUACUUUGAUUCCAAGCUCUCGGGAAGCAGCUGAUUCUCUUGUGGAUGGCAUUCCAAAAACAAAGGACGGGUUAAUUGAUUGGUCACAGGAUUUUUUUGGCAAACCAGCAUUUUUGACAGUCUCCGGCCAGCUCAAUGCCGAAACAUAUGCUACUGCUCUUUCUGAUGUUUAUACAUUUGGUCCCACAUUUCGAGCAGAAAAUUCUAAUACUUCUAGACACUUGGCUGAAUUUUGGAUGAUUGAACCAGAACUU
rnacentral:misc_RNA from 1 species